GACGAACGCUGGCGGCGUGCCUAACACAUGCAAGUCGAGCGAGUGAAUCUCCUUCGGGAGUGAAGCUAGCGGCGGACGGGUGAGUAACACGUGGGCAACCUGCCUCAUAGAGGGGAAUAGCCUUUCGAAAGGAAGAUUAAUACCGCAUAAGAUUGUAGCUUCGCAUGAAGUAGCAAUUAAAGGAGCAAUCCGCUAUGAGAUGGGCCCGCGGCGCAUUAGCUAGUUGGUGAGGUAACGGCUCACCAAGGCGACGAUGCGUAGCCGACCUGAGAGGGUGAUCGGCCACAUUGGGACUGAGACACGGCCCAGACUCCCACGGGAGGCAGCAGUGGGGAAUAUUGCACAAUGGGGGAAACCCUGAUGCAGCAACGCCGCGUGAGUGAUGACGGCCUUCGGGUUGUAAAGCUCUGUCUUCAGGGACGAUAAUGACGGUACCUGAGGAGGAAGCCACGGCUAACUACGUGCCAGCCGCCGCCGAAA
rnacentral:rRNA from 1 species